UGCAGUCGAGCGGUAACAGGGGGUGCUUGCACCCCGCUGACGAGCGGCGGACGGGUGAGUAAUGCUUAGGAAUCUGCCCAGUAGUGGGGGAUAGCCCGGGGAAACCCGGAUUAAUACCGCAUACGUCCUACGGGAGAAAGCAGGGGAUCUUCGGACCUUGCGCUACUGGAUGAGCCUAAGUCGGAUUAGCUAGUUGGUGGGGUAAAGGCCUACCAAGGCGACGAUCCGUAGCUGGUCUGAGAGGAUGAUCAGCCACAUCGGGACUGAGACACGGCCCGAACUCCUACGGGAGGCAGCAGUGGGGAAUAUUGGACAAUGGGGGCAACCCUGAUCCAGCCAUGCCGCGUGUGUGAAGAAGGCUUUCGGGUUGUAAAGCACUUUCAGCGAGGAGGAAGGCUCUGAAGUUAAUACCUUCAGGGAUUGACGUUACUCGCAGAAGAAGCACCGGCUAACUCCGUGCCAGCAGCCGCGGUAAUACGGAGGGUGCAAGCGUUAAUCGGAAUUACUGGGCGUAAAGCGCGCGUAGGUGGUUCGAUAAGCGAGAUGUGAAAGCCCCGGGCUUAACCUGGGAACGGCAUUUCGAACUGUCUGACUAGAGUGUGGUAGAGGGUAGUGGAAUUUCCUGUGUAGCGGUGAAAUGCGUA
rnacentral:rRNA from 1 species